GCGAAAUCGGAAAGUAACUGAAAUACUUCUCUGAUGGAUUACAUCUACUAAGGGACAACCCAUCCUAAAUGCUCAAUUAUUCAGGGACAAUGUACACUCAUUCCUAUAUUUGCUUUCUAAAAUCAACUCUCUGUAUAACUUUUCAUGAGUGAUGUACCCGAGUAUUCAGAUUCUAAUAUCUAAAUUAAGGGUCAGCAACCUUU